UUGAAUAAUUUCUCCGACCGAACAACAGCACGAAAAGUCUCUCAGCCGUCUCUAGCUCCUCCAAAUCAAUCAAGCAAACCUCUCCUUGAUUUUACACCUAUGGUGCCAUCAUCGGCUUCACCGCAGAUCCAGCAGUUCCUCUCCUCCGUACUCUCGCAGCGAGGGCCAUCUGCCCUGCCUUACUCGGAGGACACCAAGUGGCUCAUCCGAAACCACCUGGUCACUCUUACCGGCGCUUACCCGUCGUUGGAGCCCAAGACGGCCGUUUUCACUCAUAACGAUGGACGCUCCGUGAAUCUCCUCCAGGCCGACGGUACAAUUCCGAUGCCCUUCCAUGGGGUCACCUACAACAUCCCUGUGGUUAUCUGGCUUAUGGAGUCCUAUCCUCGGCAUCCUCCCGUCGUUUAUGUUAAUCCGACGCAAGAUAUGGUCAUCAAGCGCCCUCAUCCGCAUGUUAACCCGUCGGGGCUCGUCUCGAUCCCUGGCUUGCAGAAUUGGAUCUAUCCGAGUUCGAAUCUCGUCGAUCUUAUCGGCGAGUUGAGCAAGACCUUCUCUCGUGAUCCACCGCUUUACUCGCAGCGGCGUCCGACACCUAGCCCUACCCCGAGCCAUAGUUUUGGAUCUGUAGGCCCUUCGGAAUAUGCUAGACCGCCGGCAGUGAUCCAUCAUACUUCACAUUCAACGCCAACUCCGAGGCCGUACCCGCCUCCGUCUCCUUACGGUGUGGCUGGGAGGGCGCACACUGAUGAUACGGCUGAGGUGUACAAGAAGAACGCGAUUACGAAGAUAAUGGAGAUGGCGCACGGGGAUAUUACGGCGAUGAGGAAGACAAGGGAGGCGGAGGUGGAAGGGUUGUUUAGCGCGCAGGCUGUGUUGAGGCGGAGAGAGGAGGAGGUUAAUAGAGGAUUGAAGGGGAUGCAAGAUGAGAAGGAAGGAUUAGAGGCACAGUUGCAGGUUGUGUUGAUGAACAUCGAUGUUUUGGAGGGAUGGGUGAGAGAGAAUGAAGGUAAGGUCAAGAAUGCUCCCAUUUUAGAUGUGGACAAUGCUUUUGACUGCACUGAUGUGCUGUCUAAGCAGAUGUUGGACUGCACUGCUGCAGAUUUGGCUAUUGAGGAUGUUGUGUAUUCUUUGGAUAAGGCCGCCCAGGAAGGGGUGAUGGCAUUUGAUCAGUACUUGAGGAAUGUGAGGUUAUUGUCGAGGGAACAGUUCUUUCACCGCGCCACUGCAGCCAAAGUCAGGGCUACUCAGAUGCAGUCUCAGGUUGCCAGUAUGGCUGCUAGGGCUCCCCAUUAUGCUACAUGAAAGUUGAAAUAAUGCAGCUCAAUUUGAAAGUGAACUGUGGAGUUAUAUGUCAUGAUAUCGUUUGAGCAUCUUUUGCGUUUCCAUGGGACUGGUCUUCUGAGUUGGGUGAUUAUGUAUGUAGCAUCUCGCGUUCUUGUUGAUUUCAUGCCAAAUUAGCAAGAAAGAUGAUCCCGACUGACUUAGCUUAAGCUUGAGCCUCUAAUGAUAAAGGCACAUGAACAGUCAUUUGAUCCCCAUCAAAGUGCUCUUUGCUGUAAGAGCUAGUUCGGAAACCCUGAUGAGAGUAACCACUGUUGGAACUAUUUUCAUUUUUGUUAUUAUUUUGAUUGGCCUUAGCUCAUUUCUCUCUUGGGUUUUCACCAAAUUGUGAUAGAUUUCUCUGUUGUUUUAGUUAUUUAUCUGAUAUAGAAGAUA